AGCGAACGCUAGCGGCGGGCCUAACACAUGCAAGUCGAGCGCAUACCUUCGGGUAUGAGCGGCGGACGGGUGAGUAACACGUAGGUAAUCUACCCUUUGGUGGGGAAUAACCCGGGGAAACUCGGGCUAAUGCCGCACGAGGUCUACGGAUCAAAGCCUUCGGGCGCCAGAGGAUGAGCCUGCGUUGCAUUACCUAGUUGGCGGGGUAACGGCCCACCAAGGGGACGAUGCAUAGCUGGUCUGAGAGGAUGAUCAGCCACACUGGGACUGAGACACGGCCCAGACUCCUACGGGAGGCAGCAGUGGGGAAUAUUGCGCAAUGGGGGGAAACCCUGACGCAGCUACGCCGCGUGGGUGAUGAAGGCCUUCGGGUUGUAAAGCCCUGUCGGGAGGGACGAAUACUGACGGUACCUCCCAAGAAAGCACCGGCUAACUCCGUGCCAGCAGCCGCGGUAAU
rnacentral:rRNA from 1 species